ensembl:lncRNA
UAUGCAGAGAAAACAAUAGAGCAUUGAACAGUUUGAUCUUUGUCUCGUCUGACCUCAUUACAUUCUCCCAGUAACCUACAGGCUUCUCCAAAUGUUCUGUAGCAAGCUUGAAACGAGCUUCAACAUGCCUUUUCUACAGUAAUGGAAUCAAGGCGUGAUGGUGAAUGGAGACUGUAGCAGUAUUGCGCACUGCAUAUUGCUUUCUCUGACGACUGUACUCGCUGCUUCCAGUUCUUUCUGGAGAGCUUUUCGAGUGGUCCUCGGCUCUUGGGCUUCUCCUCUGCGUAACUUUGUCAGCCCUGUCAGAAAUCUUGCGAGGAGCUCCUGCGUGUGGCCGGUUGAUAGUCACCUAAUGGUGCUUAAAGGAACAUUUGGGAGUAAUUCUUUGGAGAGCGCUUUGCUUCUACUCAUCAUGAGAUGUUUCUUGCGCGACAGUUUGGUGACAAAUGAUUUGUUUACUUGUAUUCAGAGGUGGGUUCCCCUUUUCCACAGAGUGGACGUACUAACCUACCAUCAUACACUAACCCAGCUGAUUCUAAUUAGCACAGGUAGGAGAACUGUUUUUUCUUGUUCAAUACUUAAUUCCUGUGUCAUUCCACUUUAUUGCACAUAACUUUUUUAUGGAUUGGUAUAUUAUGAUUUCUUUAGCGGUGUAGCUUCAUCGAGUUAACACCCAUGUCGGGUCUACAUUUCAUGUGAAAACAUUUAUAUGGACAGCGGUAAUCUAAUUAUUGACCUUAUUCUGAAUAAGACAAUACUGUGAUUAAGGUGUUUACAUGAGUCGCUUUUAGAAUAUCCCUGUUUUAUAUAUUAUAAAACACAGAUCGACUAAAACAGAAAUACUCCACACGUCUUAAUUUGUUUUGUGUUUACUUCGAGUAUGACUUUAAUCGGAUUAAGGUAAUAAAUUUUUUUUAUUUACAUGCUAGUUUCCUGAUCAGAGUAUCGUCUUAAUCGGGUUAAUAUCGGAUUAUUGUUGUCCAGUAAACAUACUGAUUUACCCACACGAUAGUUUAAUAAUAUUUCAUUAGACACUGCCAUCUGGUGGCUGAUUUUAUACUUGAACUGGAGACACAGCAGAUAUUCCAGCUCUAAGGAUCAUCAUUAAUCUCACUAAUGUUUAAUCGUAUUAGGAUUGGUGCCGUUUAUUUGGAUUCCAUUAAGCAGAAAUACUCAGGGUGCUGUUGACUAUUAAUAUAAUCCUUGUCCAUCUGUAGGAAAUAGAAGAGCCCGAAUUAACAGGAAGAACAUAGGCAUAUUUCUGAGACUGUACUUACCGAGUCACAUCUUUCAAACUAUCCUUCUGAGUGUGUUUUAAUUAAUUUGACUCACUAUUACGACACACUUUACUGAUUCUUUCCAACUACCCGUCUAAGUGAGAUCUGAUUCACUUUGAAUCGAAACACAUCGCUACUCUGCACAACUACAGCUUCAGUUUGACUCCUCUUGAUAAAAACGUAAGAAGUCCAUUACAGUGAAAUACACAGAUUUUCAAAUGUGAGAAACUUUCAUUUAAAAUGUAAUAUAUAAAUGCACGUUGAUGUUAACACGAGCGGUUUGUGUUUAUUUAUUAAAGACUCGUCCAGCGCUAGAAGAACAAGAGACUGGUUUACGUGAUGAAUCAUUCCAUUUACACUUGAAUAAUGUCUCCAAGCUGCAGUUAGCGUUAGCCUGGCAGGUAUAUAUUAUUAGAAUAUAUUACUGAAACAGUGUUAACUUGAAUAACGAAGGCUGCGGUUCACUCUACAGGUAAGUAUUUAAAGACUACACCAUGUUGUUCUAUGCGUUUUGUUCACAGAGAGCUUUUUAGUGAAGCCGUGAGCUGCUGAAUGAUUUCUGAGUUUUUAAUUUAAUCUCUGAUCCAGAAUCCUAAAUUGUGGUGGUCUCCUUUACCUACCGUGUAGUGAUUAGAAGACUAUCAUGAUUCAGUGAUCCCGUGUGUGAAGCUGCUCCGUUUUGGACUCUGUAUAGCAAUAAAAAUACACAACCAUUUUAUCAUGAGAUCUGCUGGACAAUUUAAAAAUAAAUAAAUAAAUCAG